rnacentral:rRNA from 1 species
UGAAUACGAGACGCUAAGGCGUCGAAGUAGUGUAUGUCAUACUUCCAAGAAAAGCUUGCACUGUCAUAGAUAAAAAACGCCUGUACCAUAACCGACACAGGUGGGUAGGUAGAGUAUACUAAGGGGCGCGAGAUAACUCUCUCUAAGGAACUCGGCAAAAUAACUCCGUAACUUCGGGAGAAGGAGUGCCUUAUUCGUAAGGUUGCAAUAACAAGAUCCAAGCAACUGUUUAUCAAAAACACAGGUCUCCGCUAAGUCGUAAGACGAUGUAUGGGGGCUGACGCCUGCCCAGUGCCAGAAGGUUAAAGAAGUUGGUUAGCAAUUGCGAAGCUGAUAACUGAAGCCCUGGUGAACGGCGGCCGUAACGAUAACGGUCCUAAGGUAGCGAAAUUCCUUGUCGGGUAAGUUCCGACCCGCACGAAAGGCGUAAUGAUUUGGAUACUGUCUCGGAGAGGGGCUCGGUGAAAUAGACUUGUCUGUGAAGAUGCGGACUACCUGCACCAGGACAGAAAGACCCUAUGAAGCUUUACUGUAACUUGAAAUUGAAAUUGGACUUUAUUCGCGCAGUAUAGGUGGGAGGCGUUGAUUAUAAUCUUGUGGGAUUAUUGGAGCCAUCAGUGAGAUACCACUCUUGUAAUGUUAGAUUUCUAACUUUGAAUCAUUAUCUGGUCAAAGAACAGUUUCAGGCGGGCAGUUUGACUGGGGCGGUCGCCUCCUAAACGGUAACGGAGGCGUACAAAGGUUUCCUCUGAACGGUUAGAAAUCGUAUCUAGAGUGUAAAGGCAUAAGGAAGCUUGACUGUGAGAGCUACAAGCCGAGCAGGGACGAAAGUCGGUCUUAGUGAUCUGACGGUACUGAGUGGAAAGGCCGUCACUCAACGGAUAAAAGUUACUCUAGGAUAACAGGCUGAUCUCCCCCAAGAGUUCACAUCGACGGGGAGGUUUGGCACCUCGAUGUCGGCUCAUCGCAUCCUGGGGCGGUAGUACGUCCCAAGGGUUGGGCUGUUCGCCCAUGAAAGCGGUACGCGAGCUGGGUUCAGAACGUCGUGAGACAGUUCGGCCCAUAUCCGGUGUAGGCGUUAGAAUAUUGAGAGGAGCCUUCUUUAGUACGAGAGGACCGAGAAGGACAUACCUCUGGUGUACCAGUUAUCGUGCCAACGGUAAACGCUGGGUAGCUAUGUAUGGAGUGGAUAACCGCUGAAAGCAUCUAAGUGGGAAGCCCACCUCAAGAUAAGUA